rnacentral:rRNA from 1 species
GGCCCUAUGGGUUGUAAACUGCUUUUACAGAGGAAGAAACACUCCCUUGCGAGGGAGCUUGACGGUACUCUACGAAUAAGGAUCGGCUAACUCCGUGCCAGCAGCCGCGGUAAUACGGAGGAUCCAAGCGUUAUCCGGAAUCAUUGGGUUUAAAGGGUCCGUAGGCGGGACAAUCAGUCAGCGGUGAAAGUCUGUGGCUCAACCAUAGAAUUGCCAUUGAUACUGUUGUUCUUGAAUACUUAUGAAGUGGUUGGAAUAUGUAUUGUAGCGGUGAAAUGCAUAGAUAUUACAUAGAACACCGAUUGCGAAGGCAGAUCACUAAUAAUUUAUUGACGCUGAUGGACGAAAGCGUAGGUAGCGAACAGGAUUAGAUACCCUGGUAGUCUACGCCG